rnacentral:rRNA from 1 species
UACGAAGGGGGCUAGCGUUGCUCGGAAUUACUGGGCGUAAAGGGCGCGUAGGCGGGUCGUUAGUUAGAGGUGAAAGCCCAGGGCUCAACCCUGGAAUUGCCUUUAAUACUGGCGGCCUUGAGUAUGGCAGAGGUGUGUGGAACUCCGAGUGUAGAGGUGAAAUUGCGUAGAUAUUCGGAAGAACACCAGUGGCGAAGGCGACACACUGGGCCAUUACUGACGCUG